UGCUUUGAUCCUGGCUCAGGAUGAACGCUAGCUACGGGCUUAACACAUGCAAGUCGAGGGGAAACGAUAGAGAAAGCUUGCUUUUUCUAGGCGUCGACCGGCGCACGGGUGAGUAACGCGUAUCCAACCUGCCCAUCACUUGGGGAUAACCUUGCGAAAGUAAGACUAAUACCCAAUGAUAUCUCUAGAAGACAUCUGAAGGAGAUUAAAGAUUUAUCGGUGAUGGAUGGGGAUGCGUCUGAUUAGCUUGUUGGCGGGGUAACGGCCCACCAAGGCGAUGAUCAGUAGGGGUUCUGAGAGGAAGGUCCCCCACAUUGGAACUGAGACACGGUCCAAACUCCUACGGGAGGCAGCAGUGAGGAAUAUUGGUCAAUGGGCGAGAGCUUGAACCAGCCAAGUAGCGUGCAGGAUGACGGCCCUAUGGGUUGUAAACUGCUUUUAUAAGGGAAUAAAGUGAGCCUCGUGAGGCUUUUUGCAUGUACCUUAUGAAUAAGGACCGGCUAAUUCCGUGCCAGCAGCCGCGGUAAUACGGAAGGUCCGGGCGUUAUCCGGAUUUAUUGGGUUUAAAGGGAGCGUAGGCCGGAGAUUAAGCGUGUUGUGAAAUGUAGAUGCUCAACAUCUGCACUGCAGCGCGAACUGGUUUCCUUGAGUACGCACAAAGUGGGCGGAAUUCGUGGUGUAGCGGUGAAAUGCUUAGAUAUCACGAAGAACUCCGAUUGCGAAGGCAGCUCACUGGAGCGCAACUGACGCUGAAGCUCGAAAGUGCGGGUAUCGAACAGGAUUAGAUACCCUGGUAGUCCGCACGGUAAACGAUGGAUGCCCGCUGUUGGUCUGAAUAGGUCAGCGGCCAAGCGAAAGCAUUAAGCAUCCCACCUGGGGAGUACGCCGGCAACGGUGCAACUCAAAGGAAUUGACGGA
rnacentral:rRNA from 2 species